UACGUGGGGGGCAAGCGUUGUCCGGAAUUAUUGGGCGUAAAGGGCGCGUAGGCGGCCAACUAAGUCCGACGUGAAAUCCCCAGGCUUAACCUGGGAACUGCGUCGGAUACUGGAUGGCUUGAAUCCGGGAGAGGGAUGCGGAAUUCCAGGUGUAGCGGUGAAAUGCGUAGAUAUCUGGAGGAACACCGGUGGCGAAGGCGGCAUCCUGGACCGGCAUUGACGCUGAGGAGCGAAAGCCAGGGGAGCAAACGGG
rnacentral:rRNA from 1 species